rnacentral:rRNA from 1 species
UACGAAGGGGGCUAGCGUUGCUCGGAAUCACUGAGCGUAAAGCGCACGUAGGCGGACUCUUAAGUCGGUGGUGAAAUCCUGGAGCUCAACUCCAGAACUGCCUUCGAUACUGAGAGUCUCGAGUCCGGGAGAGGUGAGUGGAAUUCCCAGUGUAGCGGUGAAAUGCGUAGAUAUUGGGAGGAACACCAGUGGCGAAGGCGGCUCACUGGACCGGUACUGACGCUGAUGCGCGAAAGCGUGGGGAGCAAACGGGG